GCCUWGCCUUAAACCUAGAUAGAAAAAAUACCACCUAUCCGCCAGAGAACUACAAGCAAAAUACUUAAAACUCAAAGGACUUGGCGGCACUCCAUAUCAACCUAGAGGAGCCCGUCCAAUAAUCGAUAAUACACGCUCAACCCCACCACUUUUGGCCACUCCAGCCUAUAUACCGCCGUCGUCAGCUAACCUUGUGAAAGAAAAGUAGUAAGCACAAUAGCCCUCGCUAGAACGUCAGGUCAAGGUGUAGCUAAUAAAGUGGAUGUGAUAGGCUACAUUUUCUAUUAUAGAAAACACGGAAAAUACAAUGAAACUUUGUAAUUAAAGGUGAAUUUAGAAGUAAAAUAAGAAAGGACCCUCAUUUUAAUACCGCCCUGGAAUGCGCACACACCGCCCGUCACCCUCAUCGAAAUAAACCAGAUGAGGUAAGUCGUAACAUGGUAAGCGUACUGGAAAGUGCGCUUGGAUU
rnacentral:rRNA from 1 species